GACGAACGCUGGCGGCGUGCUUAACACAUGCAAGUCGAACGGAAAGGCCCUGCUUUUGUGUGGUGCUCGAGUGGCGAACGGGUGAGUAACACGUGAGUAACCUGCCCUUGACUUUGGGAUAACUUCAGGAAACUGGGGCUAAUACCGGAUAGGUGCUCCUGCUGCAUGGUGGGGGUUGGAAAUUUUCGGCGGUUGGGGAUGGACUCGGGGCUUAUCAGCUUGUUGGUGGGGUAGUGGCUUACCAAGGCUUUGACGGGUAGCCGGCAUGAGAGGGUGACCGGCCACAUGGGGACUGCGAGACGGCCCAGACUCCUACGGGAGGCAGCAGGGGGGAAUAUUGCACAAUGGGCGGAAGCCUGAUGCAGCAACGCCGCGUGCGGGAUGACGGCCUUCGGGUUGUAAACCGCUUUCGCCUGUGACGAAGCGUGAGUGACGGUAAUGGGUAAAGAAGCACCGGCUAACUACGUG
rnacentral:rRNA from 1 species